rnacentral:rRNA from 1 species
AUUGAACGCUGGCGGCAUGCCUUACACAUGCAAGUCGAACGGUAACAGGUUAAGCUGACGAGUGGCGAACGGGUGAGUAAUAUAUCGGAACGUGCCCAGUCGUGGGGGAUAACGUAGCGAAAGCUACGCUAAUACCGCAUACGAUCUACGGAUGAAAACGGGGGAUCGCAAGACCUCGCGCGAUUGGAGCGGCCGAUAUCAGAUUAGGUUGUUGGUGAGGUAAAAGCUCACCAAGCCUGCGAUCUGUAGCUGGUCUGAGAGGACGACCAGCCACGCUGGAACUGAGACACGGUCCAGACUCCUACGGGAGGCAGCAGUGGGGAAUUUUGGACAAUGGACGCAAGUCUGAUCCAGCAAUGCCGCGUGCAGGACGAAGGCCUUCGGGUUGUAAACUGCUUUUGUACGGAACGAAACGGUGAGCUCUAAUACAGUUUGCUAAUGACGGUACCGUAAGAAUAAGCACCGGCUAACUACGUGCCAGCCGCCGCCGUAA